rnacentral:lncRNA from 1 species
AAAAUUGCUAUGUCUUGUUGGUGUAUGGUUCCAUUGAGCAGUAUGUAAUGUCCAUCUUUAUCCCUUUUGAUUAACUUUGGCUUGAAGUCUAAUUUAUUUGAUACAGGGAUCGAAAACCCUGCUUACUUCUGUGGUUUUAUGAGUGGUAUGAUUUUACCCAACCUUUCACCUUCAGUCUGUAUAUGUAUUUUCCUAUCAGAAGAGUCUCCUGGAGGAAGCAUAUUAUUGCUGCUUCUCCUCCUCCUCCU